rnacentral:rRNA from 1 species
CCUACGGGUGGCUGCAGUGGGGAAUAUUGGACAAUGGGGGGAACCCUGAUCCAGCCAUGCCGCGUGUGUGAAGAAGGCCCUCGGGUUGUAAAGCACUUUCAGUGAGGAAGAACGCCUGGUGGUUAAUACCCAUCAGGAAAGACAUCACUCACAGAAGAAGCACCGGCUAACUCCGUGCCAGCAGCCGCGGUAAUACGGAGGGUGCGAGCGUUAAUCGGAAUUACUGGGCGUAAAGCGCGCGUAGGUGGCUUGAUAAGCCGGUUGUGAAAGCCCCGGGCUCAACCUGGGAACGGCAUCCGGAACUGUCGAGCUAGAGUGCAGGAGAGGAAGGUAGAAUUCCCGGUGUAGCGGUGAAAUGCGUAGAGAUCGGGAGGAAUACCAGUGGCGAAGGCGGCCUACUGGACUGACACUGACACUGAGGUGCGAAAGCGUGGGUAGCAAACAGGAUUAGAUACCCUAGUAGUC